rnacentral:lncRNA from 1 species
AGCUGGCCAGCCUGCAGGCGUCUCUUCGUUUUGCAGUGUACACCACCUGAAUCUGUAACCCCAAAGAGGAGUUCCCACGGGGGGGAACAAAAGAAGAAAAAGAAAGCGAACCCCGGUGGCGCUCCCAAAUCCACCCUUCCCAGGGGUCGGCUCCACUGCCUUGGUCAUCGGCUCACAUCCACCCGGCGGCAGACAAGGCUCAGCACUUCCUUGAGUUUCCGUGAAGCGAAGGCCUCACUUCGAGCACCAAGACGUUAGACACGAUGACACUGUGGAUUUUAAUAAGUCAGCUUGGAUUCUCAGUGGAAUAGCGGGACCUGAUGGUGCCUUUGGAAAGCAGUUUCAGAGGGACGCGGGUAAAGAAGACACCAGCCAAGGAAUGGCCCCUUGGGGGGCCAGCAAAUGCUUCAAAAAGACAGACUGGCCUCCUGAGUCCAGAGCUGAUGCACGUCGAGGCCGUCAAGGAAGGUUGCAGCGGUAGCCGACAUCUACUCUCUCAUUUUCUAACCACCCACCCACCGCCUCCGUCCGCCCCAGCCAAGCCCGUGAAAUGCAUUGCCCACUUCCGGAAGGCAUCGCUGGCCGUCUUCAGGAGCCGCUCCGUCGUUUCUGACGUCAUUCGAUAGUAGGAAAACAAAAAUCCCUUCUGUUUUUUUAUGAGGCAUUUUCAGGUAUCGGGUGCAGAGGUAAAAGUUCAUAAGCACAUACUCUUAAUGAGCUAAGCGCGGGAGCGCUAGAUAAAUAAGAAUGAUUCGGUUUGACAAUUGCAGGGGCGGAACACGGAGUCUUUGGUUGCAUAGUCCAAGAAGAGUGAUUGUCUUUCCCCCUGUCUUCAUGCCAUGACAGGUAGCUUUCCCGUUCCUUGCCAGUUUCAUGAACUUGGAUUUGGACACAUUCCUUUCCCACCUGGUCAAGAAAGUAGAGCGUAUCCGAAUACAAACAAGAGAAAGGGACGUUAAUAGUAUCAGGAUCAUUUUUGAUGUAUUCUUAUUAAUGAAAAAGGAAAAUUGGGGAGUUCCCAUUGUAGAUUGAGGACCCCACGUUGUCUUUGUGAGGAUGCAGGUUUGAUCCUUGGCCUUGCUCAGUGGGUUAAGGAUCUGGUGCUGCUGUGGCUGUGGCAUAGGUCGCAGAUAUGGGUGUUGCUGUGGCUGUGGUGUAGGUUGCAGUGUAUCUCUGUUUUGACCCCUCACCUGGGAACUUCCGCAUGCUGCAGGUGCAUGCCAAAAAAG